UACGUAGGGUGCGAGCGUUAAUCGGAAUUACUGGGCGUAAAGGGUGCGCAGGCGGUUUUGUAAGCCAGAUGUGAAAUCCCCGGGCUCAACCUGGGAAUGGCAUUUGGGACUGCAAGGCUAGAGUGUGGCAGAGGAGACUGGAAUUCCUGGUGUAGCAGUGAAAUGCGUAGAUAUCAGGAGGAAUACCGAUGGCGAAGGCAGGUCUCUGGGCUGACACUGACGCUCAUGCACGAAAGCGUGGGGAGCAAACAGG
rnacentral:rRNA from 1 species